UUAGAAGUGCACUAAAGACAAGGCAUGUCUUCACAUACAUAACAGUAAACUAUAUACACUGAUCAGCCAUAACAUUAUGACCACUGACAGGUGAAGUGAAUUACACUGAUAUGUAUUAUUACUCUCCGUAUCAUGGCACCUGUUAGUGGGUGGGAUAUAUUAGGCAGCAAGUAAACAUUUUGUCCUCAAAGUUGAUGUGUUAGAAGCAGGAAAAAUGGGCAAGUGUAUGGAUUUGAGCAAGCCAAAUUGUGAUGGCUAGACCACUGGAUCAGACAUCUACAUAUAUAUUUAUGUUAUCUACAUAUGGUCACUGUACAUAGUGUAUUUUUUUGCAACACCAUUUCAAAGUUAACCAUUGUACUGUAUUAUAUUAGUGUAUUAUAUUUUUGUUUUAUAUUUGUAUACAUAUAUAUUAUACUACUAUUUUUUUGUUAAUAUUUUUAUUAUAUUAUUUUUAUUUUAUUUUAUUUUUCAUAUUUAUAUUCACUGUUAUUGAUGGCUAAAUUUGACCAGACUGGUGGCCAAUCUUCAUUGAUUGCACAUUCCACCAGUAAGAGCAGAGUGUGAAGGUUUAAUUAACAGAGUAAUAGCACAAUACACACAACAUUAUGGGUGACAUAUCAGAGUUCAAAAGAGGACAAAUUGUUGGUGCACGUCUCGCUGGCGCAUCUGUGACUAAGACAGCAAAUCUUUGUGAUGUAUCAAGAGCCACGGUAUCCAGGGUAAUGUCAGCAUACCACCAAGAAGGACGAACCACAUCCAACAGGAGUAACUGUGGAUGCAAGAGGAAGCUGUCUGAAAGGGAUGUCCGGGUGCUAACCCGGAUUGUAUCCAAAAAACAUAAAACCACAGCUGCCCCACUCACUGCAGAAUUAAAUGUGCACCUCAACUCUCCUGUUUCCACCAAAACUGUCCGUCGGGAGCUCCACAGGGAGAAUGUACAUGGCCGGGCUGCUAUAGCCAAACCUUUGGUCACUCGUGCCAAUGCCAAAUGUCGGUUUCAAUGAUGCCAGCAGCGAAAAUCUUGGGCUGUGGACAAUGUGAAACAUGUAUUGUUCUCUGAUGAGUCCACCUUCACUGUCUUUCCUACAUCCGGGAGAGUUACGGUGUGGAGAAGCCCCAAAGAAGUGUACCACCCAGACUGUUGCAUGCCCAGAGUGAAGCAUGGGGGUGGAUCAGUGAUUGUUUUGGGCUGCAAUAUCAUGGCAUUCCCUAGGCCCAAUACUUGUGCUAGAUGGGCGCGUCACUGCCAAGGACUACCGAACCAUUCUGGAGGACCAUGUGCACCCAAUGGUUCAAGCAUUGUAUCCUGAAGGCGGUGCCGUGUAUCAGGAGGAUAAUGCACCAAUACACACAGCAAGACUGGUGACAGAGUGGUUUGAUGAACAUGAAAGUGAAGUUGAACAUCUCCCAUGGCCUGCACAGUCACCAGAUCUAAAUAUUAUUGAGCCACUUUGGGGUGUUUUGGAGGAGCAAGUCAGGAAAUGUUUUCCUCCACCAGCAUCACGUAGUGACCUGGCCACUAUUCUGCAAGAAGAAUGGCUCAAAAUCCCUCUGGCCACUGUGCAGGACUUGUAUCUGUCAUUCCCAAUAUGAAUUGAUGCUGUAUUGGCCGCAAAAGGAGGCCCUACACCAUACUAAUGAUUUAUUGUGGUCUAAAACCAGGCGUUUCAGUUUCAUUGUCCAACCCCUGUAUAUAUAUAUAUAUAUAUAUAUAUAUAUAUAUAUAUAUAUAUAUAUAUAUAUAUAUAUAUAUAUAUAUACACUAUAUUGCCAAAAGUAUUCGCUCACCUGCCUUGACUCGCAUAUGAACUUAAGUGACAUCCCAUUCCUAAUCCAUAGGGUUCAAUAUGACGUCGGUCCACCCUUUGCAGCUAUAACAGCUUCAACUCUUCUGGGAAGGCUGUCCACAAGGUUUAGGAGUGUGUUUAUGGGAAUUUUUGACCAUUCUUCCAGAAGCGCAUUUGUGAGGUCACACACUGAUGUUGGACGAGAAGGCCUGGCUCUCAGUCUCCGCUCUAAUUCAUCCCAAAGGUGUUCUAUCGGGUUGAGGUCAGGACUCUGUGCAGGCCAGUCAAGUUCAUCCACACCAGACUCUGUCAUCCAUGUCUUUAUGGACCUUGCUUUGUGCACUGGUGUACAGUCAUGUUGGAACAGGAUGGGGCCAGCUCCAAACUGUUCCCGCAAAGUUGGGAGCAUGGAAUUGUCCAAAAUGUCUUGGUAUGCUGAAGCAUUCAGAGUUCCUUUCACUGGAAGUAAGGGGCCAAGCCCACCUCCUGAAAUACAGCCCCACACCAUAAUCCCCCUUCCACCAAACUUUACACUUGGCACAAUGCAGUCAGACAAGUACCGUUCUCCUGGCAACUGCCAAACCCAGACUCGUCCAUCAGAUUGCCAGAUGGAGAAGUGCAAUUCGUCACUCCAGAGAACGCGUCUCCACUGCUCUAGAGUCCAGUGGCGGCGUGCUUUACACCACUGCAUCCGACGCUUUGCAUUGCACUUGGUGAUGUAUGGCUUGGAUGCAGCUGUUUGGCCAUGGAAACCCAUUCCAUGAAGCUCUCUGCGCACUGUUCUUGAGCUAAUCUGAAGGCCACAUGAAGUUUGGAGGUCUGUAGCGAUUGACUCUGCAGAAAGUUGGUGACCUCUUCGCACUAUGCGCCUCAGCAUCCGCUGGAAGUGAUUGGAACACCUGAUUCUGAUUAUUUGGAUGGGUGAGCAAAUACUUUUGGCAAUAUAGUGUAUAUAUAUAUAUAUAUAUACAUAUAUAUAUAUAUAUUUUUUCUCUCUUUUUUUACUCUUUCUUUUUGUGUAAGACAGUCGUAAAAAGCAUUUCACUACAUGUCGUACUGUGUAUGAUUUCAUAUGUGACCAAUAAAAUCUGAAUAAAAUUUGAAUUUGAAAUUUCUCCAAAACUGAGCUCUUAUGGGGUGUUCACAGUCUGCAGUGGUCAGUAUCUAUCAAAAGUGGUCCAAGAAAGAAACAUUUCUGAUAGAAAGGUGUCAGAAUACACAGUGCAUCACAGUUUGUUGCGUAUGGGGCUGCAUAGCCGCAGAGCAGUCAGGGUGCCCAUGCUGAACCCUGUGCACUGCCAAAAGCACCAACAAUUGGCAUGUGAGCAUCAGAACUGGCAUUGCUUAAAUGGGGAACACAUGGCACCAGGAUGCACUAUGGGAAGAGAGCAAGCCGGCGGAGGCAGUGUCAUGCUUUUGGCAUUGUUCUGCUGGGAGACUUUGGGUCCUGCCAUCCAUGUGGAUGUUACUUUGACAUGUACCACCUACCUAAGCAAUGCUGCAGACCAUGUACACUCUUUCACAGAAGUGGUAUUUCCUAAUGGCUGUGGCCUCUUUCAGCAAGAUAAUGCACCAUGGCACAAAGCAAAAACAGUUGCGUCAAACAACAAGUUUGAGGUGUUGACUUGACUUCCAAAUUCCCCAGAUCUCAAUCCAAUCAAGCAUCUGUUGAAUGUGCUUAACUGACACGUCUGAUCAAUGAAGGCCCCACCUCACAACUGUUAGGACUUAAAGAAUCUGCUGCUAAGGAUCUUGGUGCCAGAUACCACAGUCCACCUUUAGGGAUCUAGUGGCGUCCAUGCCUUGAUGGGUCGGGCAGCAAAAAAGGGACCAACUAUAUAUAAGGCAGGUGGUCAUAAUGUUAUGGCUGAUCGGUGUUUAGCAUCUGAGACUAUUCACUCAGACCAGCUAUGAGGUACUCUAGAGAACUAAGGAAUGAGUUUUAGGCUUUGCAGGAUAUAAGAAUUAGCUUUGUCGCUUCUGUUGGGAUGGAGUAUGUCUGUGUAAUAUUAUACUGCAAUGUCUGAUUUAAUUUGUUACUUUAUUUUAUAUGGUGUGUGUACUUUAAUUUGUUUGUGUUAAAGAUUUAUACAAGAAACCUGCUCUCCAUAUAGCAUUAUCUCUACAGAUGGUAUAACCACUACAGACCAGUUGGUGUUUGGACCUGGUAUUUUUACAUAAGUGACUAUUCAGUUUUAACAUGGAACACUGUUACACACACAAAGACCAGAGAUUAUUAGGUAUGCUCUUGUCAUGUAACGGAGUGCAAGCAGAGACUCUAGGAAAAGCUUGUAAAAAGGAAAAAAAGAAAGUGUGAAGCAAAGACAGAAUUCUCUCUUAAAUGUUUUGAAUGGUUUAAAAUUGAUAAAAGGGCCAAAAUAUUCUUAUCCUUUAUAUCUUUUUAUUGAAGAAUAAAUAUUUUACAAUGAUAAAAUAGUGUGUCUGAUGCAGUGGGUUGUGAAGUAACAGUGUUUUUUGUUCUGUAUUACUGACGCAGUUCACUGCCACUGAUACUGUGAAGUGAUGAUCUGUGUAAAAUAAACAAACAGCAUCACUUCCUGGGUGUGGCCUUCUAGAGACAUGUGAAGUUCAGCACAUACAGCACUAUUAUACAGAAUCCUCACAGAGCUGUGUUCAGAAAUGGCUCAACUGUACAACUUACUGUACAUAGUGAGAUACAUACCACUGAUUCUCACUCUAGUUACAGGUAAUUUCCAUCAAUUCUUCCAUAAAUUAAUGAAAUUAACUAAUAUUCUAUUAUUAUUCUACAGUUUAAUAAUGGAAUUAACUAAUAUUCAUAUCAUACAGCAUUAAUUCAUGUAGUCUUUAUGUCAAUAUACUGGAUAUUACACAAAUACCAAUUUUUAAUGUUUUGAUAUCUAUAUAAUGUCUUUAUUGAUAUUCUUCUGUACAAAAGACAGUUUUGCAGAUAAAAGUGGACCAAAGGACGAAGAUGCCACGAGUGUCAUGAAAGAAACAGACACUGUUACUCUGAGAUGUUCAUAUGAAUCAAGCAGUGAUUAUGUUUGGCUUUACUGGUACAAACAAUAUCCCAACAGCGCACCACAGUUUUUACUGUUUAAUGGCGCAAAGUCAGCAGAUGAUGAAGAGUACAACCCCUCUGGCUCUCGAUUCAAUGCAAAAACAUCCUCAGAUUCUACUGAACUUACUAUCAAAGAUAUGCAGAUCUCAGAUUCUGCACUCUAUCACUGUGCUCUUAGAGUAGCAGCAUAGUGAUACAGAGUCAAUGAGAGACUGUACAAAAACCUAUGAAAUAAUUCAUUUGAUGUUACAUGUUAAAUAUCAAAGAUAUACCAACUAAAAUAUCAAAGAUUUACCAACUUAUCAGUUAACCACAGACACAAAAGACAUUUGUAGUAACAUAUGCAGCUGAAGUAACAGAAAUAAAAUAAAGAGGCACUUGUUGCUGGUGUGUACUGUUUUUAAAUUUAAUUCAUUGUACUUUGUUGGCCAGUUUUUCCCCUUAUUCAUUCUAUUUCCAUUCAUUUAUAUGUACAAACAUAAAUUAAGAUUGAUCAUCUAUUCUAAGAGGCACAAUAUUGUACAACUUGUUUGGGGAUUCACAACAUUCAGAAAUGUCUAAUUUAAGAGGUGUAGUAUAAUCUAUGGAAGGAGAAUAUUAUUUUCCAAGUUGUCCCAAAGUAACAUUGGAGAAAAUAUCCCAAUGGCGUUUUUCCCAUAAUUCUCUUAAAGGUUUUGUUUUGUGGUGGACAGGGGAGUCAGGGAAUCAAACCUGAGGUAAAUUUUACACAAUGUGCUAGAUGAUGAUACUUCUGUAUUUUUAUUUAAAAAAGCACCUGCCUGAUGUCUCUGCUGUCCUGUAUUUCCAAAUGUCAUCAAAAUGCAGACAACAACCAUAAGUAUUAUUUAAAUAUGUUUACUGUGACAGAGGUGCAGGUGCUCUAAUCUGGUAGGUUGUUAUAGUUUUUUUCAGGUCACCAUGUCACCAUAACGGAUGAAGAAUAUCCAGACUGUAUUCAUACUACAAACAUUGCAUUGAUAUACUGAUCAAUGCGUACUGUAUCACUAGACGAGAAGUAGAUACUGAAUCAGAAGUAGUAGGUACUGUGAAAGUCAUGCAACACCAGCAGCACUUCCUACUUUUGAUCAGUCAGGUUUAAGAAAACAUAUUGUGUAUGAUUUAUAUAAAAACAUCAAAUUGCUUAUCAAAAUGUGAUUUCAUUGCACAUACGAAACUUAAGGAAAAAAAGUUUCUAAUUAUUCAACUGGAUUACAGUAUAAGCAUGAUUUCACCUGGUAUUAAUGUAAACCUAUUAAAUCAAGAAAUCUCAUGAGGAAGCUUUAACUGUAGAAUAAAAUUAGUUUAAUUAAAAUUUGUAGUAGAUUUUUUUGUUUUUAAAUACAAAAAGAAUAUUAUUUUGAAUUAUGUUUUGUCAUUAUCUGUUGAGAUGUUUCAUUUAUUAUGACAUUGCUCUCAUGUAAGGAAAUAUUUGGCUUCAUUUAUAAUUAAUAAUAUUUUAAUUGAGACUGGUUGUGUGGUGCAGUAAUUACAGUUAAUAAACCCUGGUGUCCCUCUGCCCCCUGGUGACAAAUAUUCUGAUCAACAGUGUCAGCUGCAGGAAGGGUGGAGCUCCACAGGCUAUGACAGUAAACUCCUUCAGCUUUAUCUUUCAGCAGCUUACCAUCUCUAUCAUGCUGCUCUUUAAUCUUUUACUGUUAAUGUUUCUUCUAGGUUUGUUGUCUUAGUAUUAGUUCCAUUAGUUACAAGUUUUCCUAUUUCAUUCAUUUGUUUAUUACUUUUCUCUUUUUUCCACAGCGAGCACAUCAAUGCAAAUGACUGAGCAUCUUAUAACAGAAAAGCAUGUCUUGGAAGGCAGGCAAUGAGAAAGUUUUAAGGUCAGCCAGAAAUCUUUUGUCCCUCUUGAACAAUGUCCAAUGAGGUUCUGGUGGGCCUAGCCAGAACAGUAGCAGGUAGUACUUUCACACACAGUUAGUAAGGUGGUACGAUGGCAUAGUGCAUAGUACUGUGGCCUCAUGCCUCCAGCAUUAAAGAUUUAAAUACUACAUUGGGAAUUGAAAUGUAUAUUUUGUAAACAAUGUUUUGUUUCACUCUUUAUAAUAUAGUUACAGACCACACAGUCGAGGAGGACAUACACAAAGGACAUCUGUUCAGACAGAAAUGACCAGAUCCUUCCCAGGAUUGUUUGCAAACCAGAGGGGAAAAUGCAGUUUUUCUGGUGCAUGUCCUGUUCCUUUCAGGUGCUGUUUUACCUUCUUCCAGCACAGAAUGAUAGGUCUCCAAAUGACCAAGACCAUCUGCUUCAUGCUCAGGCUGGAAAUGGGAAUUUAGAUGACAACAUGACUCAUGAAGAGGUAUGUGAUGUGCUCACUGAAUUGUACCCAAAGUUGAAGGAUGUAACAGGUGGAUGGUUACUUUACAGAUCAGGUGGUAAGUUUUGGAGGCAGGUUAUUGCUUCAUUAAUUUUUGUAUGUGUAAUGUAGAUGUGUAUAGUAUGUAAUAUUUGGAUAACUGCGUUUGUUUUCCCUUGUGGGUGUUUGGGGAAGCAGAAAGUGUGAUAGCUCCAGCAGACCGUGACUACAUGGGGAGAAUUGUAAAAUCUGCAAGAGCAAAGGACAAUUCUGUUAUAUAUGUAGCUCUGCUCCAGGAGGAGCUUGACACAAGUCCAUUGCCACCAACAUCUGAGGCCUUUCAGAAUAUGCCAAAGGCAAUAUGUAAGAAGGGAAAUUUGCUGUAUCCUCUUCAAGUCCUUCCUGACCACAUUAAAUCAUGCUCUGUUGCUGUGGUGGACAACAAUGAUGUAGAACCAGAGAAAAAUGAAUAGGUGGUCUUGCUUACUACACUCAAACUUGCAUGUGUGAACAAUUGUACUAUUGCUAUAUAUAUAGUGGCAUCUCAGUAAAUUAGUACAUCAUCAAAAAGUUGAUUUAUUUCAAUAAUUCAAUUAAAAAAGAGAAACUCAAUUAUUAUAUAGAUUCAUUACACACAGACUGAUAUAUUUCAGGUGUUUGUUUUGACUUUGAUGAUUAUGGCUUGCCUGCAAUUUAAGUAAAACUUGCUGUAUUUGUUAGAACCAUAUUGUUCCUUUUUGUGUGUGCAAUUUGUACUCCAUUCCAUAUUUUUUGUGUUAUACCCCAUAGGCUUGCUGUCCAAUAUGUCAAGAACAAAUGACCCACAAUGUUUUAGAAAUUCAUGCCAGCGUUUGUGGGGAAAGGUAUACGAGACUGAUAAAACCUGUUAUGUGAGAAAAAAUAAAAAAAUUGUAGAACAUUUGACGAUACAGCAGACACCACAACGGAAGUGCCAUGUGUGGAUAAUGGUAAAUGCCUUGCAGGGCUCAGCAGAGCUUUUGUUCAUGUUCUGCUUGGUGGCUCACAUCAUACAGCCACUAUACUGUUGGAGGACUGCCCUGAUAUUGAUUUGAGAGAGACAAUCAACCUGCUUAAUGGACCAGAUACAUUGGAUGAGAACCAACGUGAUAACGUUUUGGAACUUUGUUUGUCUUGGGAUUUUCCUGGUCCAAUUAAAGAGAACAGACAUUGGCUCAAUGAACGUCUGCUUCCACAUGUGAACACGCCAAAUUACACAAAUCAGACAAGGACUUAAGGAGACGUUGCUUUGGCCACUUCUGACUCAAAGGAAUGAUGUGAUGUUCUUUCCAAUGGAAUCUGAGGAUGCUUAUUCUGCAGAGAUGCUGCUUUCUCAGAUAUCCUGGCCUACUUAUGAUGACGAUGAGGAGGAGGAGGAAUAUCCAGCUGAAACAACCCAGCAUAUCACUGGAUACUUAAAGCAGUACAUUGAUGCAGCAUCCAGCAAAGAGCUGAAAGACUUGCUGAAUUUUUGGGUUGGAUGGGAAGUUGUGAAAGAAAACCUGGCUGUAGUAAACCUAGUUGUAAGAGGUGAUCUCCCAAGAUCCUCUACCUGCUUCUGUAUACUACCAUUGCCAGGCCACUACAAAGAAUCACUCCUUCAAAAUGGACCUGAUUAGGUGCAUUGGGACAUGCAAGUAUGGAUUUGGGCUUGUCUAACAUUAGCCUUAAUCACUCACCUGUGGCAACGUUAUGCAAUUUCUUUACUUUAGCAGUUAUUUGUGUUAUCACAGCUUCAAUGUUUAAAUGUAACUUUAGCAAUAUCCAGUAAUAUGACUGUUUGUUUAUAUCACAUUCAAAUAGUAGUAGAGUUGUGGUCAGUUUAGUGUGUUUGCAGUGUUUGCCAAAAUGGCCUGUUAUAUGCUUCUACUUCACCCACCACACAAUAAGUUGACAAGAUAUUUUUCAGUUGAAUUUUUUUUGGUCAAAAUGA